CAAGCUUGUACCGGUACAUCAAAAAGAGAAAAAUAAAUAGCAGCAUAACAAAAAGAUGUAACGAAAUUCUUGAUAAAUAACAAACUAGGAAAAAUGCAAAUGCUGUCUGAGUUUGCUGGUAAUGGAGUUUGUUAAAAAACGACAGAAAGCUCUUAAAGUACAAACUGAUAAAUCAAGCAACUAGAAUAUGAGAAGGGAAAUGUGAUUCACUGAAUCACAUAAACAGGUUGGGCUUCUUUGCUUUGUAGGUUGUUUUUAGGCUCCUAGUAGGAGGCCUAAUCUUCUUGUACACCAAGGGGAACUUGAUUUUGGAAUUGUGGAACUGCUUAGUGCUCUCCCUUUUGCACAGAUUAGCUGGGAUGGUGGCCGUCUUAAUGAUCUGGAUGCAAGGAAAUCUGACCCUAUGACGAGAUGCCAUUUCGUUGUACAUUGUCUCCACAGCACCGUUUAGAGUAGUAUCACGGUAUUCCUUGUACAUAUUGUGAUAACCAGUACGACUCUGAUAACGCAGCCAAAUUCCGUAGUUCUUAAUCUUGGUAGGAUUUUUCUCAAAGAUCUGCAAUUAAAAAGAGGUACCAUAAACCCCUAUGUCCAAAAAGACUGCAAUUGAAGGUAAAAUAAUAACUAAAAAUCCAACUCCAGGUAUUCUUUCAUCACAAUUAGCCUUACUUUUCCUAGCAUAAUUGAAACAAUAUGCGGAAAAAAAAUGAGCAUAAUUUUUCAGGUUAGUCACUGGUUUCAUGCUAAAACCCUACCUGAAAUACUUAAGAUAGGCAUACAGUUUGAAGGAAAAAACUGGCAAAAUCCCUUAAAAAGACAUGUCACAACAACAGGUUACCUAUGUUUGGAUUUUGACAUAAUUCGUCUUCAAUCAAAACAGCUUAGACUCAAAUGUUUAGUCAAUGACUUCUCAAAACAAAACAACUAAACAGAGCAAAUUUUAUACCAGCACUAAUCAAAACAGAUGUUUUUAUAUGCUAUCAUGGAAUGCUAAUCAAAAUCACAGUUAAAAUCAUCGAAAUGUCAUAUCAAUUGUUCUAUUUAGAAUCACAAAAUACCAAACAAGUGCUUCUACGAGUCGAUAAAUACAAAUAAGCUGUUGAUAAGUAUAAAUCUAGCUUAACUACAAUCCUAGUAUAAAAUUUGAAUUAACAGGUAGAAUAAAUAAAUGUGCAUACCUCAUUGAUAGCCAAAACUUGUCCAUUACUUUUCUUAACCUUCUUCAACUUCCUCAAGAAAUACC
rnacentral:lncRNA from 1 species